rnacentral:rRNA from 1 species
UACAGAGGGUGCAAGCGUUAAUCGGAAUUACUGGGCGUAAAGCGCACGUAGGUGGGUGCUUAAGUCGAAUGUGAAACCCCCGAGCUCAACUUGGGGACUGCAUGCGAUACUGAAUACCUAGAGUAUAGUAGAGGGAAGUGGAAUUUCCGGAGUAGCGGUGAAAUGCGUAGAUAUCGGAAGGAACACCAGUGGCGAAGGCGGCUUCCUGGGCUAAUACUGACACUGAGGUGCGAAAGCGUGGGGAGCAAACAGG